rnacentral:rRNA from 1 species
UACGUAGGGUCCGAGCGUUGUCCGGAAUUACUGGGCGUAAAGAGCUCGUAGGUGGUUUGUCGCGUUGUUCGUGAAAACUCACAGCUCAACUGUGGGCGUGCGGGCGAUACGGGCAGACUGGAGUACUGCAGGGGAGACUGGAAUUCCUGGUGUAGCGGUGAAAUGCGCAGAUAUCAGGAGGAACACCAAUGGCGAAGGCAGCUCGCUGGGACGGUACUGACGCUGAGGCGCGACAGCGUGGGGAGCAAACAGG